GGGGGGGCAAGCGUUUGUUCGGAAUUACUGGGCGUAAAGGGCGCGCAGGCGGCCUGGCAAGUCCUACGUGAAAUCCCACAGCUUAACUGUGGAACUGCGUGGGAUACUGCCAGGCUUGAGUCCGGGAGAGGAGAGUGGAAUUCCCAGUGUAGCGGUGAAAUGCGUAGAUAUUGGGAGGAACACCGGUGGCGAAGGCGGCUCUCUGGACCGGUACUGACGCUGAGGCGCGAAAGCUAGGGGAGCAAACGGGAUUAGAUACCCCGGUAGUCCUAGCUGUAAACUUUGAGCACUUGGUGUGGCGGGUAUCGACCCCCCUGCGUGCCGAAGCUAACGCAUUAAGUGCUCCGCCUGGGGGAGUACGGUCGCAAGGCUG
rnacentral:rRNA from 1 species